AGCAGCCGCGGUAAUUCCAGCUCCAAUAGCGUAUAUUAAAGUUGUUGCAGUUAAAAAGCUCGUAGUUGAAUUUUAGGUGGGGAGGAAUGGUUAACCGAUAGGUUAUACUGUUUGGUCCUGGCCUCAAUAUCGGGGGGAGUCAGGCGUCAUGGACGUCUGGCAAUCCUCGAGGUUUACUUUGAAAAAAU
rnacentral:rRNA from 1 species